rnacentral:rRNA from 1 species
UGGUGGCGAUAGCGGAGGGGUUCCACGCGUACCCAUCCCGAACACGACCGUUAAGCCCUCCAGCGCCGAUGGUACUUGGA